CUUGUCUAUUAAUUGUAGACCUGUAUGAAAGGCAAAACGAGGGUCUAUCUGUCUCUUGUAGUAAAUCAAUUAAACUGAUCUCCCAGUUCAAAAGCUGGAAUACCAACAUAAGACCAGAAGACCCUGUGAAGCUUAAAUUAAACUAUUAAACCCAAUAAUAGCUCCUUUCGGUUGGGGCGACCUUGGAAAAAAAAAGAACUUCCAAAUACACUGACCCUACAGUCAUCCACUUCUAGGCCAACAAGCCUAUCAACGACCCAGUACAGCUGAUAAUUGAACCAAGUUACUCCAGGGAUAACAGCGCUAUCUUCUUCAAGAGUCCAUAUCAAAAGGAAGGUUUACGACCUCGAUGUUGGAUCAGGACAUCCUAAUGGUGUAGCCGCUAUUAAGGGUUCGUUUGUUCAACGAUUAACAGU
rnacentral:rRNA from 1 species